AGUGAACGCUGGCGGUAGGCCUAACACAUGCAAGUCGAACGGCAGCACUGUAAGAGCUUGCUCUUACGGGUGGCGAGUGGCGGACGGGUGAGGAAUACAUCGGAAUCUACUUUUUCGUGGGGGAUAACGUAGGGAAAUUUACGCUAAUACCGCAUACGACCUACGGGUGAAAGCAGGGGAUCUUCGGACCUUGCGCGAUUGAAUGAGCCGAUGUCGGAUUAGCUAGUUGGCGGGGUAAAGGCCCACCAAGGCGACGAUCCGUAGCUGGUCUGAGAGGAUGAUCAGCCACACUGGAACUGAGACACGGUCCAGACUCCUACGGGAGGCAGCAGUGGGGAAUAUUGGACAAUGGGCGCAAGCCUGAUCCAGCCAUACCGCGUGGGUGAAGAAGGCCUUCGGGUUGUAAAGCCCUUUUGUUGGGAAAGAAAAGCAGCAGGUUAAUACCCCGCUGUUCUGACGGUACCCAAAGAAUAAGCACCGGCUAACUUCGUG
rnacentral:rRNA from 1 species